CACCUAACCUUUCCUUCCACCCAAUCCAAAACCAAGCCAAACAUCCCUACUCAUUCUCUCUCAUUUCAUUUCGCCUCUCAUCUGCCUUCACUUCACUCAGUCUCAGACUCUCCCUCUCUUUCUCGGAUUUGAAGCUUAGCAGCCACCCACCGUCUAGCAAUCUGACUCCGACGAACUAUCUCCACUCCGGCCACCACCACACCUCAUGGCUUCAUCCCCACCUCCGGUUCUCUCCAGUGAUUCUCUGUGUGUGUGGGAUUUCGAAUUGAGGUUAGGGUUUUGAAUUGGGGCUUAGGGUUUCGAAUUGGGGGCUCGGGUCAGGAGGAGGUUCGGAUGAUUUCAAUAUUAAUCUAAGACGAUUUGGAUUCUGAUGAUGUUCGGUUUCGGGAAAUUCCGAAAUACCGAAAAUAUUUCGGGAAUCCCGAAAUUUGGGAAUCCCGAAAUUUCGGUUCGGGAUCGGUCAUGAGAUUUACGUCCCGAAAAUUUUCGGUUCGGGAUUUGAUAUGCCAUUUUUGGUUCGGUAUCCCAUACCGAACCAGCCCUAUGUUUCACCCUCAAGAAAUAUCAACAUAAAGUUUUACGUUAGUCUUCAGAACCGAGUCAUCUAGAUAUAGGUCUUAUCAAACCAAGUCAAUCAAAUGAUACAAAACUUUUAAUUGCUAAAAAAAGACUCCACGCUCAGCUUACACGCACAGAAGAGACGUUGAUGGAAAAUGCGCACCCAUCAAUGUGUUCGAUUUUGUAAUUAUAGUCAUGUACAAGUUAGAAAGUCUUAUUUUAUGAUAUAAAAAGUCCUUAUUUAUCUUA